rnacentral:lncRNA from 1 species
AUGAGUUUGGAGUCUCUGAGACAACAGUUAGGAGCAAUAGAGGACUAGCAAAAGCUAAGUGUGGGGGAAUUUGAUAGGCGCAUUUUAAUGUGAUAUUUUAAAUGUUAAUUCCUCACAUUUUGCUUAGUUAUUCCUUAACGAAUCGAUUUUUAACUUAAUUUCUAUUUUUAGGUACAUUGGAGUAGAUGAAGAAGAAAUGAGUGUUACGUCCAUAAUUACCUAGAAAUGAUGGAGAAGAAUGAAAAUGCACUAAAAAGUCAACCUUGAAUAUUUUCUUACUCCGGCUAGGAGAAUCAGAGCCAAGCAAGGAAGAAGGAGCGGCCACCUGACCAAAUGAACUCGAAAUGAGCUGAAACUCUCCAGAUCCAUUCUAGACACCCAAAGGAUCAUUUCUUAUGAAGAGUGCCAGAGAAAAAUAUGAGUGGAAGGCCUU